rnacentral:rRNA from 1 species
AAAUUGAAGAGUUUGAUCAUGGCUCAGAUUGAACGCUGGCGGCAGGCCUAACACAUGCAAGUCGAACGGUAACAGAAAGCAGCUUGCUGCUUUGCUGACGAGUGGCGGACGGGUGAGUAAUGUCUGGGAAACUGCCUGAUGGAGGGGGAUAACUACUGGAAACGGUAGCUAAUACCGCAUAAUGUCGCAAGACCAAAGAGGGGGACCUUCGGGCCUCUUGCCAUCGGAUGUGCCCAGAUGGGAUUAGCUAGUAGGUGGGG